rnacentral:rRNA from 1 species
UACGUAGGGUGCAAGCGUUGUCCGGAAUUAUUGGGCGUAAAGAGCUCGUAGGCGGUUUGUCGCGUCUGCUGUGAAAACUGGAGGCUCAACCUCCAGCCUGCAGUGGGUACGGGCAGACUAGAGUGCGGUAGGGGAGAUUGGAAUUCCUGGUGUAGCGGUGGAAUGCGCAGAUAUCAGGAGGAACACCGGUGGCGAAGGCGGGUCUCUGGGCUGUAACUGACGCUGAGGUGCGAAAGCGUGGGGAGCAAACAGG